CACAUCAACGACCACCUCCGGCCAGUGACCCAGGACUAGGAGGUGCUCGAUCUCUUCAUGCUCAUGGUCGAUCCAGUGCUAUGCGCUGGACGCGGAGGCACAUGGCUUCUCUACACUUGAAUGGCGGCCGCGGUCAUCGCACACUGGAGGGCUCAAGUGCACCGGCCACCAAGAAUACAAGGCUCGCAGCUCAAUCCAGUAAUAAAAUAAAGCAACAGAAUCAGAGCAAGUGAAAAUCCAUGCUGAUUUGCUGCCAUCAAGAUAAAACUCAUGCAGCCGAUGAAGUGUUCCUCCUGGAGGGGAAGGUGGUAAAAAUCAAGGUGGCUAAGACAGAUAUCCCAGCGGCAAGUUGUUGAGGAGCUCUUUGGUGUCGGCACCGGUAUGCGGGAAGAAGCAAUCUGGGCAGACAUUGAUGAUUAUCUACUGG